UACGUAGGGUGCAAGCGUUACUCGGAAUUACUGGGCGUAAAGCGUGCGUAGGUGGUUUGUUAAGUCUGAUGUGAAAGCCCUGGGCUCAACCUGGGAAUUGCAUUGGAUACUGGCAGGCUAGAGUGCGGUAGAGGGUAGUGGAAUUCCCGGUGUAGCAGUGAAAUGCGUAGAGAUCGGGAGGAACAUCCGUGGCGAAGGCGACUACCUGGACCAGCACUGACACUGAGGCACGAAAGCGUGGGGAGCAAACAGG
rnacentral:rRNA from 1 species